rnacentral:hammerhead_ribozyme from 1 species
AUUCAGCUGACGAGUCCUAAAUAGGACGAAACACGUGUCCUGGAU